rnacentral:rRNA from 1 species
UGGGGAAUAUUGGACAAUGGGCGCAAGCCUGAUCCAGCCAUGCCGCGUGAGUGAUGAAGGCCUUAGGGUUGUAAAGCUCUUUCACCGGUGAAGAUAAUGACGGUAACCGGAGAAGAAGCCCCGGCUAACUUCGUGCCAGCAGCCGCGGUAAUACGAAGGGGGCUAGCGUUGUUCGGAUUUACUGGGCGUAAAGCGCACGUAGGCGGAUCGAUCAGUCAGGGGUGAAAUCCCAGGGCUCAACCCUGGAACUGCCUUUGAUACUGUCGAUCUGGAGUAUGGAAGAGGUGAGUGGAAUUCCGAGUGUAGAGGUGAAAUUCGUAGAUAUUCGGAGGAACACCAGUGGCGAAGGCGGCUCACUUGGUCCAUUACUGACGCUGAGGUGCGAAAGCGUGGGGAGCAAACA